rnacentral:lncRNA from 1 species
GGAAAAUUGAAUAGACAUCUUGUCAGGAAUGCCUUUGAGAAUUAAUAGGGCUGUCAAAAGCUGUAAUAGGGGUGCUUUCUCCCAUUUUGCGUGCUACUAUUCUCUCCAUACCUUUUCCAGUUCAUGAUUAUGCAUUUGCUGUUCAAUCCAGCAGACAGACACGGGCUUCUUCCCUGUCACCGUCUCCCGCCAGCUGCUUUGUUUCUGCAGAGCUGGCUGCUCCCUUGAAAGGCUUCCACUUUUGUCCUUGGCCUGCCUGACUUCUUUUCCUCAGAUUCCUGGUUGCUGUGCCAAGGGCUGGCGCGGAAGUCCCUUCUUUUCUGUGUGCUGCAAAGAUGAAAGUGACAAAAUGUGUGCUGCUGAUGCUGCAGCUCAAGAGCAUGAUUGGGAAUGUGGUGCCCCAUGA